rnacentral:rRNA from 1 species
UUGAACGCUGGCGGCAUGCUUUACACAUGCAAGUCGAACGGCAGCGCGGGCUUCGGCCUGGCGGCGAGUGGCGAACGGGUGAGUAAUAUAUCGGAACGUACCCAGAAGUGGGGGAUAACGUAGCGAAAGUUACGCUAAUACCGCAUACGAUCUACGGAUGAAAGUAGGGGACCGCAAGGCCUUAUGCUUUUGGAGCGGCCGAUAUCUGAUUAGCUAGUUGGUAGGGUAAAGGCCUACCAAGGCGACGAUCAGUAGCUGGUCUGAGAGGACGACCAGCCACACUGGAACUGAGACACGGUCCAGACUCCUACGGGAGGCAGCAGUGGGGAAUUUUGGACAAUGGGGGCAACCCUGAUCCAGCAAUGCCGCGUGAGUGAAGAAGGCCUUCGGGUUGUAAAGCUCUUUUGUCAGGGAAGAAACGGCUGUGGCUAAUAUCCACGGCUAAUGACGGUACCUGAAGAAUAAGCACCGGCUAACUACGUGCCAGCAGCCGCGGUAAUACGUAGGGUGCAAGCGUUAAUCGGAAUUACUGGGCGUAAAGCGUGCGCAGGCGGUUUUGUAAGUCUGUCGUGAAAUCCCCGGGCUUAACCUGGGAAUUGCGAUGGAGACUGCAAGGCUGGAGUCUGGCAGAGGGGGGUAGAAUUCCACGUGUAGCAGUGAAAUAGCGUAGAGAUUGGGAGGAACACCGAUGGCGAAAGGCAGCUCUCCUAGGGUCAAGACUGACGCUCAUGCACGAAAGCGUGGGUAGCAAACAGGAUUAGAUACCCUGGUAGUCCACGCCUGUAAACGAUGUAUGCUAGUUGUUCGGGUAAUUGACCCCUGAGUACCGAAGCUACACGAGUGAAGCUAGCCCGCCUGGGGAGUACGGUCGCAAGACUAAAACUCAAAGGAAUUGACGGGGCCCGCACAAGCGGUGGAUGCAUGUGGAUUCAAUUCGACUGCAACGCGAAGAACCUUACCUAGGCUUGACAUCUGGGGAACCCUCCUGAGAGGAUAGGGGUGCCCGCAAGGGAGCCCAGAACAGGUGCUGCAUGGCUGUCGUCAGCUCGUGUCGUGAGAUGUUGGGUUAAGUCCCGCAACGAGCGCAACCCUGUCAUCUAGUUGCCAUCAGUCAGUUGGCACUCUAGAGAGACCUGCCGCGUGAAACCGGAGGAAGGUGGGGACUGACGUCAAGUCCUCAUGGCCCUUAUGGCCUAGGGCUACACACGUCAUACAAUGGAUACAUACAGAGGGCUGUCAACCCGCGAGGGGGAGCUAAUCCCAGAAAAGUGUAUUCGUCAGUUCGGACUGUAGUCUGCAACUCGACUCACGUGAAGCUGGAAUCGCUAGUAAUCGCGGAUCAGAACUGCCGCGGUGAAUACGUUCCCGGGUCUUGUACACACCGCCCGUCACACCACGGAGUGGGUUUACCAGAAGUCCGGUAGCUCAACCGCAAGGAGGGCAGCCUUACCAAGGUUAGGACUCAGUGACUGGGGUG